UUUGGGAGGUAACAGCUGGAAGAACAAGGAGACCCUCACAGUGGAGGUCACAACAGGUAGAAAUGUAAUGUUCAUUUUAAUAAGAAAUACCUGAAAAUGGAAAGAAACAUUUUGCUGUUUAGUGCAUCACAAAUAUCAAACUGCACCCAGGAAAGGAGGGAGCUGAUUUAACAACAUCUGGUCUAGAUAACUUUGAAAUGCUCUAUCCAGCCUCAGAGUCAAAACAGGAAUGAAUGGAAAACACAUUGAAAAGAGGAUUAUGUCCAUAUGGAGGAGGAUUGACGUCCAUUUCCAGACUGGCAAGAUUGAGUUAUGCCAGUUUUGCCCUCGGUUAUCCACCUAAGAUGCCUGUGCAGAUUCAACAGGAUGUUGACCUGGAUCUCUCAGAACAGCUCAUGGAGAGGAAAGACCCUCUGACACAAAACCGCGUCACUGCAGAGGGAACUGUAAUGUCAGGGAGGGCAUCUGGAAGAUCAAAGUGGGAAUAAACCAAUCACUCCAAGCUGUAUGGCUUUGCAUGGCUGAGUUUUAUUUCCUUUUGAAGCACAGCUCAUGAGCUUUAACAAGGAAAGAACUUUUGUGUAAAAUUCAGUAAAUCG